UACAGAGGUCCCAAGCGUUGUUCGGAUUCAUUGGGCGUAAAGGGUGCGUAGGUGGCGGGGGAAGUCGGAUGUGAAAUCUCGGGGCUCAACCUCGAAACUGCAUUCGAUACUGCCUUGCUAGAGUACUGGAGAGGAGAUCGGAAUUUACGGUGUAGCAGUGAAAUGCGUAGAUAUCGUAAGGAAGACCAGUGGCGAAGGCUGAUCUCUGGACAGUUACUGACACUGAGGCACGACUUCCAGGGGAGCAAACGGG
rnacentral:rRNA from 1 species